GGUCUCUCUCUACCUCCACCGGCCACCAAACGGCGUCGAACCACUUCCUUUUGCUUCGUCUCAGCCUUGCGCAGCUACCAGAGGCAGCCUUGCACCGUGACACGGCCACCAGCGGCGGCGGGAAGCUCCGCCCGGUUUGAGCUCGUUUUGGAAACAAGCUUGAUAUCUCAAGCUACCGGUCACCAAUCCUCACCAAAAUCCAUCCACAAGCUCGACUCAACUUCCUGAAACUCCCAGAAGCAGCCUCACACGGCGGCGUGGCCCGUAGCAGUGGCUGCAAGUCAAACCCAACCAAGAACGAGACCGGAGCUAUCGAUCAAGAUAUCUCGAGCUGUAGUGCAUCGUUUUGAUUGAUUCUUUUUCCAGUGGGUUCCCCUUGAUGUUAUUAACAACUCUCUAGAAGGCAUCGAGGCCUGAAAUUGAAGCUUUGACGUCGAAAUCGAGCCUUGCCGGAUUCUGCAAAAUUCUGGAAUUUUUCCGACCACCGAAGCUUUCGAUCGGUAUAUCUCGAGCUACAGACCAUAUUUUUCUGUGAUUCUUGAACCAGUGAGUUCUUCUUGAGUUUCUUAACAACUCUUCAAAAAGAAUCGAAGCCUUAAAUUGACGUUUUUACGUCGAAUUGGAGCUCGCCGUUUUCUGCAGUUUCUCGCCGGUUUCUGGAAAAUUCCGGCCACCUUCAUACUGUUCAAGGUGAUCGACGGUUUGAUUUGGCGGACGAUUCGUGAAAUUGUAUUUUGAGCUGUUAAGAAGACGCAGCGGGAAUUUAGAGCGGGUAAUCCUACAGGACAGGAGAACCAGGACGGUGAUCGUGCGGUUAGAGCAAUGGUUAUAGUUUUACAGCAAUUGUAAUAGUGAGGCGAGUUAAGCUCAUUUGAGCAUUACAAUUUGAUUUGGUGGGAGUGUGCUGUAAUAAAUAACUUGAGGAUUUGGGUUAUUGUAAAUUUGAGAGUUGUGAAGUGUGGUUGUUUGUGAGAA